rnacentral:lncRNA from 1 species
GACAACCAGCCUUGCUCACGAAGCGUCAGCCCUUAAAAUAUUUUUCCUUUGAUUUGUUCUCUUUCUUUGGUUUCUGACUUUAUUAUGUCCUUUCUUUCUGCUUAGGCAUUUGUUUUAUUGCUCUUUUUUCACCAACUCAAACUGAAUGGUCACCUUAACAGUUUUAUUGAGAUCCAUUAUUUAUUCUUCUCCAUCUUGUUCUGUGUUCCUGGAAGCCAACCUUUAUAAGCUGCAGGAAAUGGAUUUCCUACUCUCCACCUUCUGAUUGGGCUUGACCAACGGGGAGCACUGGCAGAAGACAAGCAUGGGAGGAAAAAGAGAUCAGGGCUGGAGUGCAGUGGCGUGAUCUCGGCUAGCUACAACCUCCACCUCCCAGCCGCCUGCCUUGGCCUCCCAAAGUGCCGAGAUUGCAGCCUCUGCCUGGCCGCCACCCCGUCUGGGAAGUGAGGAGCGCCUCUGCCCGGCCGUGACCCCGUCUGGGAACUGAGGAGUGUCUCUGCCCGACCGCCACCCCAUCUGGGAGGCCCAGCAUCCAAUUCAGUCGCCUUCAAGGAGUCUCUUCAGUCUAAUUUAUUCUAGAACAAUUCUUCAGGCUUCCCUUCUCUGGCCAAGAUUUUUGAAAAAUACAGGUCAAUGACUUUGUAGGUUGUCUUCAGUUUGGAUUUGUCUGCUGUGUCCUCAUGAUUUAUGCAUCUCUGGCAGGAAUACCACAGAAACGAUGCGACAUUCUUCUCAGUGUACCAUAUUAGGAGUCACACAAUGUCAACUUGUCCCAUUACUGCUGAUGUUAAUGUUUACCACUUGGCUAAGAUGAUGUCUGCCAGGUUUCUCCACUGGAAAGUUAACAGUAUUUAGUACGUGUUAAGUGAUGAGUAAUGAAUAAAUAUUUCAUAGGGA